rnacentral:rRNA from 1 species
UUGCCCUAGUAACGGCGAGUGAAGCGGCAACAGCUCAAAUUUGAAAUCUGGCUUUCGGGUCCGAGUUGUAAUUUGUAGAGGAUGCUUUUGGCGCGGUGCCUUCCGAGUUCCCUGGAACGGGACGCCUUAGAGGGUGAGAGCCCCGUACGGUUGGACACCAAGCCUCUGUAAAGCUCCUUCGACGAGUCGAGUAGUUUGGGAAUGCUGCUCUAAAUGGGAGGUAAAUUUCUUCUAAAGCUAAAUAUUGGCCAGAGACCGAUAGCGCACAAGUAGAGUGAUCGAAAGAUGAAAAGCACUUUGAAAAGAGGGUUAAAUAGCACGUGAAAUUGUUGAAAGGGAAGCGUUUGCGACCAGACCUUUUCGUAGCGGAUCAUCCGGUGUUAUCACCGGUGCACUUCGCUGCGUUUAGGCCAGCAUCGGUUUUUGNAGGGNGAUAAAAGCUUUAGGAACGUAGCUCCCUCGGGAGUGUUAUAGCCCAUUGCAUAAUACCCUUACGGGGACCGAGGACCGCGCUAUAUGCAAGGAUGCUGGCAUAAUGGUCGUCAACGACCCGU